UACGGGGGGGGCAAGCGUUGUUCGGAAUUACUGGGCGUAAAGGGCUCGUAGGCGGCCAACUAAGUCGGAUGUGAAAUCCCCGGGCUCAACUUGGGAACUGCAUCCGAUACUGGAUGGCUUGAAUCCGGGAGAGGGAUGCAGAAUUCCAGGUGUAGCGGUGAAAUGCGUAGAUAUCUGGAGGAAUACCGGUGGCGAAGGCGGCAUCCUGGACCGGCAUUGACGCUGAUGAGCGAAAGCUAGGGGAGCAAACGGG
rnacentral:rRNA from 1 species